UACGAAGGGGGCUAGCGUUGCUCGGAAUCACUGGGCGUAAAGCGCACGUAGGCGGAUUGUUAAGUCAGGGGUGAAAUCCUGGAGCUCAACUCCAGAACUGCCUUUGAUACUGGCGAGCUUGAGUCCGGGAGAGGGGAGUGGAACUGCGAGUGUAGAGGUGAAAUUCGUAGAUAUUCGCAAGAACACCAGUGGCGAAGGCGGCUCACUGGCCCGGUACUGACGCUGAGGUGCGAAAGCGUGGGGAGCAAACAGG
rnacentral:rRNA from 1 species